GACGUAGGGCGCGAGCGUUGUCCGGAUUUAUUGGGCGUAAAGAGCUCGUAGGCGGCUUGUUGCGUCGACUGUGAAAACCCGCGGCUUAACUGCGGGCUUGCAGUUGAUACGGGCAGGCUAGAGUUCGGUAGGGGAGACUGGAAUUCCUGGUGUAGCGGUGAAAUGCGCAGAUAUCGGGAGGAACACCGGUGGCGAAGGCGGUUCUCUGGGCCUGUACUGACGCUGAGGAGCGAAAGCGUGGGGAGCGAACAGG
rnacentral:rRNA from 1 species